GAGCCUGGACCGUUGCAGCUAAUGGUUGUGGCUGAGCCUCAGGGGGGCAAGCACGGCGUGGGCCGUAUUGACAUCGUGGAGAACCGCUUCAUUGGAAUGAAGUCCCGAGGUAUCUACGAGACCCCAGCAGGCACCAUCCUUUACCAUGCUCAUUUAGACAUCGAGGCCUUCACCAUGGACCGGGAAGUGCGCAAAAUCAAACAAGGCCUGGGCUUGAAAUUUGCUGAGCUGGUGUAUACUGGUUUCUGGCACAGCCCUGAGUGUGAAUUUGUCCGCCACUGCAUCACCAAGUCCCAGGAGCGAGUGGAAGGGAAAGUGCAGGUGUCCGUCCUCAAGGGCCAGGUGUACAUCCUUGGCCGGGAGUCCCCACUGUCUCUCUACAACGAGGAGCUGGUGAGCAUGAACGUGCAGGGUGAUUAUGAGCCAACUGAUGCCACCGGGUUCAUCAACAUCAAUUCCCUCAGGCUGAAGGAAUAUCAUCGUCUCCAGAGCAAGGUCACUGCCAAAUAGACCCCUGUACAAUGAGGAGCUGGGGCCUCCUCAAUUUGCAGAUCCCCCAAGUACAGGCGCUAAUUGUUGUGAUAAUUUGUAAUUGUGACUUGUUCUCCCCGGCUGGCAGCGUAGUGGGGCUGCCAGGCCCCAGCUUUGUUCCCUGGUCCCCCUGAAG
rnacentral:sRNA from 1 species